rnacentral:rRNA from 1 species
AGCGAACGCUGGCGGCAGGCCUAACACAUGCAAGUCGAACGAAGUCUUCGGACUUAGUGGCGGACGGGUGAGUAACACGUGGGAACGUGCCUUUAGGUUCGGAAUAACUCAGGGAAACUUGUGCUAAUACCGAAUGUGCCCUUCGGGGGAAAGAUUUAUCGCCUUUAGAGCGGCCCGCGUCUGAUUAGCUAGGUGGUGAGGUAAAGGCUCGCCAAGGCGACGAUCAGUAGCUGGUCUGAGAGGAUGAUCAGCCACAUUGGGACUGAGACACGGCCCAAACUCCUACGGGAGGCAGCAGUGGGGAAUCUUGCGCAAUGGGCGAAAGCCUGACGCAGCCAUGCCGCGUGAAUGAUGAAGGUCUUAGGAUUGUAAAAUUCUUUCACCGGGGACGAUAAUGACGGUACCCGGAGAAGAAGCCCCGGCUAACUUCGUGCCAGCCGCCGCGGUAAUAC